rnacentral:lncRNA from 10 species
GUAUAUAGUUCAAUAAUUUUUUUUUUUUUUUGAGACAGAGUCUCACCCUAUUACCCAGGCUGGAGUGCAAUGGCGCAGUCUCGGCUCACUGCAACCUCCGUCUCCUGGGUUCAAGUGAUUCUCCUGCCUCAGGCUCCCGAGUAGCUGGCAUUAGAGGCGCGCACCACUGCGCCUGGCUAAUUUUUUGUAUCUUUAGUAGAGACGGGGUUUCACUAUGUUGGCCAGGCUGGUCUCGAACUCCUGACUUCGUGAUCCGCCUGCCUCAGCCUCCCAAAGUGCUGGGAUUACAGGCAUAAGCCACUGCGCCCAGCCCUAAACAUUUGUAGAAUAAUAGUCCUAGUUUUACAGAUGAGGAAACAGGCAAUAAAGGGAAGUAACUACCCCAUGUCACACAGCCAGCAAGUGGCAGAGUUUGGGUUCAAACUCAGCCCAUCUGAUUUCUUUUUAGGACUGCAUUCUUUCUGUGAACUGGCUAUCCUCACACUUAGACCUGGCUGCCCAGGGCACAUCCUAUAGCCACUCCUCCCAGAGGCCCUGCCGUAUCCCUGGGGCACUGGGAGGACACAGAGCAUAGGUCCCAAUCCUCAGUGAACCCAUGAAUCUUCCCCCUCUUUCAGCUCAACCCCCAUUCUUUCCCCAAAUACUCCCCACUUCCAGAAUAUCUAAUAUUAUAUCCUCAAUUAGAUUAAACUCUUAUUUAUACCACGAAAAGAGUUUAUCUUUUAAGAAACCCCUCCUGAGACCAAGAAAUAGAAGGGCUACUUAGAAUGAGGAGGUGGGAUAUCUGGAAAACAAAGCAGAAGUAGCUCGGAGUGUCUCUCUGUGUGUGUGUGAGAGAGAGAGAGAGAGAGAGAGAGUGUGUGAGCAUGUGUGUGAGUAUGUGUGAGAGUGUGUGUGUCAGUGAGUGUGUGUGUGAGUGUGUGUGUGAGAGUGUGUGUGUGAUGAGCACUCCAGGCUCCCUUUCCCAAACCAGCUGAAAGAUCCCCUUUUUCUCUUCUUUAAAACAGUUCUGAAAUCUAGCCAUGCCACCAAUACCUGCAGAAACAUUCUGGAUGGAACAGGCUUGCCCAGACCCUCCUCUCCAGAAGCUGGGCCCUUUAUGUUCCAUCUCUGAGUGAGUGGCAGCAAGGACCAGUGCGAUCAAAAAGGAGAAAGUGGAAUGCGACAUCACCCCCAAGGAGAGGAAGACCAUGGGCCAAGAGCUUCAGGGUGACCCAGUCAUAGGCCCGGGAGAGACAGAUCUGCACUAGAUGCUGUGCAGAGCCCUGACACCCAGAGCAGGUAAAUUUCUAACCAGACCUGCUGCCAGAUGAACAAGUCCCCUGGGAAGGAAUCCCUUCUUCAGUCUUCAAGUCAAACUGCUUCUGUGCUAACCAAAGGCUAAGCCUGCCAGGGAGGGGGCAGUGCCACCUGCUUCCAAAGGCGCUGUGACAGCUCUUGUUUAUUGAAGAGGGCUGCCCAUCCCAGUGAAGUAAGAUAACCAGGAAUUUUAUUUCUGAGAGAGAGUAUCCUGGGCCUCCACAUCAAGGAGCAGGAAAGCUCAGCCUUGGCUUCUUGAGCUAUAUCCCAGGGAGCUGUAUCAGCAAAUGGACAGGUGGAACUCUGAUGCCUUCACCAAGAUGGUUGAACAAGAGAACAAGAUAGAGUUCUCAUCAGCUGAACAAAAGAAAUCAUGACAGAGACUAGAAGAUGUAAAGGCCUAGUUUCGGAGACAGAGACAAGUAAUUUCCCUGAAAUGUUAUUUGUGCCAUGUGGGUCACAGCUGAACUGCUGAGGGAAGCAUUUUCAGAACAUCACAGAGGGAAGAGUCAUGGGUCUAAACCUUUUAAAGACUACAUUUUUUAAAGGUCAACUGCUUUUUCCCUGGAGGGGAUCCUUGUAAUAGGUACUAUAGAGAAGGAUAAUUAAUAAUCAUGAUGUUGAGAAAGUGGCCUGAAAAAGAAAAAAAAAAAACUUGGAACCAGCUUCUCAUCGAAGAUGUGCCUCUCUCCCUCCCUGCAUUGCUGUGAUCUAGGGUUGCAGUGAUGCCCAGUUUUCCAGACCCUAGCUCUCACAGUCCGGACCAACUUGCAGCUGCAUUUCAGUAUCAAUCCAAUUUACAGAGCUGGAAUUACGUUGUAGCGGGGCCCACUAACAUGAACAUACAUUGUAAAUUCUUUUUCCUCCUAUUUGUAUUUUCAAUAUUCUUUGUUAAUUGUGAUAAUCCCUUAUGACAAAUGUGUGAUGUAUUUGCGUACCUCAGAUUGAGCAUAUGUCUGGUAUGAAACAAGUUGCCCCACAAAAAAUUGGGGAGAGGCCGGGCAUGGUGGCUCAUGCUUGUAAUCCCAGCACUUUGGGAGGCUGAGGCAGGUGGAUCACUGAGUCCGGGAGACCAGCCUGGGCAACGUGGCAAGACCCCAUCUCUACAAAAAAAUGCAAUACUUAGCUGGGCAUGGUUAGGCACACCUGUGAUCCCAGAUACUCAGGAGGCUGAGGUGGGAGGAUCAUUUGAGCCCAGGAGGUCAAGUUUGCAGUGAGCUGUGAUUGUGCCACUGCAUUCCAGCCUGGCAACAGAAUGAAACCCUGUCUCAAAACAACACAACCACACACACACACACACACACACAAAAUUGGGGUAAGAACAAAAAAUUGGGGGAAGAAAUUGGACAUAUGAGUUUUGAAGGCAUAACAUCUGCCUUCUCAUUGCUGAGACAAGUCAUCUAUUUUUAACUUCCAUUUUCACGUUAAGGAUUUCUCCCAGGCUAUCCUUCAAUCUCUACCAUCUCUGAAUUCCAAAGUUUUCUGUCCUUGCUCCUUGGGGUGUUCCGCAGCCUCCUGUCAGACUCUCCAAGGCUCCUUGUCUGCUGGGACUGUGCAUGCCCCACCGAGGCCACAUCCUACCAAUAUUGCAGCUUGGCUCCAGAAUGGAUUAGAUAAUUUUUGCUAAGCUCCUGCAGCUAGGUGUGUUUUUGUGAGGCUCACCCUAUUCUCAGAGUUGUGAAUCAUGACAGCUGACCCUUACUGAGCACGCAUAUAUGCUAGGCACGUGCUAUGCUUUUUAUGUGCAUCAUCUUGGUUAAUCCUAAUAAGAAGCUCAUCCUUCUCAUCAGCUCUGCUUUACAGAUGGGACACUAAGGAACAGAGAGGUUAAAUGACAUGCACACAGUUACAAAUCUAGUGGUAGUGCUGGAAUUUGAACCCAGUCAACCUGACUCCAGAAUCUGUGUUCUUGAUCAUGAUGCUAUUGAUGGGUUCCAGCUUUUAGCCCAUUUCCUGCAGGGUCCUUUGAGUUGCAGUUAAUUGGGUCAGGUGCAGCUGUACCAUGAGAUAAGAUAGGUGUUCAAUAAAUUCCACCCUAGAAUCAUUUGUUGAACAUUUACUGGGUACAAGACACUGUGCUCACUUGUAAACCUGGGGUGUGGGUUUUGGUGUGGAGAUGAAACAUGCUAUUUAGUCACUGAAAUGAUCAAGAAGGAAAUCCUUUUGUUUGUAAGAAUAGUAGAUCUGACCUGAGACAAAAUUGUGAUCUUUCUGUGUCUCAUUGUCUGGCCUUUCUCAAACCCUGACCCUGUCCUUUCUUCAACUUAGGAAGCCUCUUCUGCUUUUCCACCCAGGAUCUUCUCUCCAUGUUUCUGAACCCAGCGCUGCACUCAGAAACAGGGCAGGUGCCUCUCCGUGCAUCUGAAGGCUUUACCUUCAGACCGUCCAGGUGUGCAUACUUCAAUGUUUAUUUAGUUGCCUGCCUCUGGGGAGCAUCCCAGCCUCACUGAGCUUAUACCUUGGGACACCUUGGAAGGUGAAGGCAGCCGAGUCCUUAUCGUAGAGUAAAAUAAGACAAGAACUCUAAAGUGAGGAAAGGCCCCAAACUAAGCAACAAAAGGUGUUGUUUUCUUGAAAAUGAUGACGGAAAUAUUACAAAUAUUGAUUGGUUGCAGAGGUAAUACAUUUGUCAAAGCUCAUCAAAUUGUGCUAAGGAAUACCUUUGCAUUUGUCUGUGUAUAAAUUUUACCUAAAUAAAAGCUUUUUUUUCCUAAGAAAUAAAAAUGCCAUAGUGCUAAAAGGACACUAGUAAGCAGAGAGCCGUUUCCAAGUACAUCAUCUAAGAGCCAUUUGUUCAACAAAUAUUUAUUGAGCACCUGAUAAGUACCAGGGACUGUCCUAGAAUCCAUCAGCAAUGAGACAAAGGUCCCUGUCUCCAUGGAGCUUACAUGCUAGCAGGGCCCUUGAAAGUGGCAGGCAGAGGCGGGCGCUUUGGCUGAUUGUUUGCCCUGAUUGCUGAUCUCAAGAGGAGCAACUGGAAGCUCUAGUCUCAGAGGGGCUCAGUGAUUCAUGGAAAAGGGAGUUUCCUGAAUGUCAGGUCUAGGGUUAGGCUGCAGCCCAUGCUGAGGUCUGAAGGGAGUGGGUGGAUGAAUGGCAGAUAGCUGAAAGAACACUUAAGGAGCUGUAGGUAGGUGAGAUACAGCUUUAUUCAGCAGCUCUCUCAUCAGCAGCUCUCUUACACGGUCUGCUCUGUCUCAGCUGCUUGAUCUGGCUGCUCCCAUGCACAGCUGCGCUGCUGGCUUUCCCUUCAGGGUCAGCAGCUUAACUCUUUCUCUGUCUGGGCAUGAGCGGGCCUAUACAGUGUCAGCAGGGCAAUUAUACCUUUUACAGACAAUAGUGGCUUAGAGCCAAAUGAUGAGCCUUCCCAUGCUAUGGCUACAUGGAUGUGAUGACAAGUGGAGUAAUACACCUAUGCUCUAAACUUGCUGAAUCACUCUCGGUGUUUACCUGGGGCUAUCGCUGACCGAAGCAUAGCCAUGUUCCUUACACUGAAAAAGCCUCUGAAUGCCUAGGGGAAAAAAGUCCUUACAUGCUUGGGGGCUAGAGCCGCACUUUCCGGUGAGGCCCAGAAGAGUCUGCAAAUCUUCCAGCCCCAUCCCCAGUGUCUCUUUGUGGCUUGAGAGGGUGGCUCACCCACCGCCUUACCAUAUGAUCCAUGCCCUCUCCCCCCUAGCAAGGCACCUCCACCAGGGGCCCGGCUUCCUUCAGGCACAUGUGCCCACAGGGCAUGGGCUCUGGCAGAGGCCAGCAAACCUGGAGGCUGGAAGCUCAUUUUCUGAGCUCCAGGAAGGGCGGGGAGGUGUGGGUUCUUUUUGAAACCAGACCUAUGUGCUUAGAAACACCACAGAAGGGCUGGGCAGAGCCACUGGGGGUUGGAUGGGGUUGCUGUGAAUCAUAGGAACUCUAGGCUAGAAGAAGCCAUCUGAGAGGGGAGGUAGGUUCUUUUGAAGUCUCAAAAUCUUUAUUUAAAACAGAAUCCAAGAACCUUUGAUCAUGCAGCAAAGUUUAUGACAUUAUAUACGUAAUAAAGGACAAUGAAGCAACAUAUAAUCCUUGUUAAUUAAAAUGGUCUAAAUUACAUGUAAUCUCUGAAUUUACAAAGAUAGCACAAUGUAUGCAAUAAAUCCUAUUUCACAGUCUUUUUUUAGUAACAACAAG